GUCGUGUUUUACCCUAAUUUCGGGUUUCACUCUACUCAUCUUCUCCGCUGAAACCUUCAAGCCAUGUCAAUGGCGAUUUAGUGUGAGAAUCCUUGUUUCUUCAUCCGAAAUCAUCGAUUUUUCGUCUCUAAUCGCCUAUUCCGUUUUCACAUAAGUUCCCACAUGCCAAUCCUCUCGCUCUUCGUUUUCUAGAGAACAUGUUGUCUUUUGAACCCAGAGACAGGCUUACAUCUGAAGAGGCGCUUGCAGAUCCGUACUUCAAGAAUUUAGCUAAGGUUGAAAGAGAGCUCUCUUUGAGAGGCAGAGGAUAACAGAAGAGGACGUGCGAGAGCUCAUUUAUAGGGAGUCUCUCGAGUAUCAGCCAAAGAUGCUUAAAAAUACUUGGAUGGAUCAGAGCCAACGAACUUUAUGUAUCCUAGGGCUUGUGUUUUGUACCCUGAUAACAACCAUGCGGUGGCACAACAGAGUUUGUGGAAGUCACUGAUGGACUCUCCAACUGUAGCAUCAGAGAUACAGAGCGACCGCGUGGUGCUGACAGGAGAGUUCCUAUUUGCAUCCCGUAAAUUAUCCAAGGUCUCUUGCGCUUUCUGUUUGAUAUAAUUAAGAUGCAGAACUUAUAGGGUUUCUGAACAUUUACCUUUGUUUAAAUAAAUAUAUAAAUAGUCAUACUAAUGUUUCAAAUGGUUUUCAUAUUUUUUAAUAUUUUAAAAUUUUAGUUUACUAUUUUUUCCAUUAUAGAAGGGUAAAACAUGUCCAAAAGUAUCAAAAAUCCUAUUUGGACAUAUAAAAAUUGAAAGUGUCUGUUUUUCCCAAUUCUCCCUUAAUUAAUUUAGACUUAGGAUUUUGAGCAUAUCCAAAAGAAACACUAUAACUUUAAAUAUAGAGUUUUUUCUAUCCAAAAUGGAACUCAAAACUUC